CUCUAAAAUUGACUUACGGAGGAGGAUGGUGGCUUUUAUUUUAGCUUCUCCGCUGACUGCGGGGAGCGCCGUCGCCGAGGCAUUGGCAACUUGGCUGGAUCCAACCAGCCUGACCUGACCUGACCUGACCUGACCUGACCUGGGACCCAGGACUGAGCCAUGGCCACCUCUAUAAAGUCCAUGGUAUCCAAGAAUAAGAAGAGAUUUGAGGAGGGGAAGUUCAACUUAGAUCUAUCAUACAUCACGGAUAACAUCAUCGCCAUGGGAUACCCGGCGAAGGCCAUAGAGACACUCUAUAGGAACGAUGCCAAGGAGGUACUGGAGUUCCUGAACAAGAGGCAUCCGCAGAGAUAUAAACUCUUCAACCUCUGCCGGGAGCGUCAGUACGACUCAGCCAUGUUCGAGGGCCGGGUCGAAUGGGAGCCGUUUGAGGACCACAAGCCGCCCCGGAUUGAACAGAUCGAGACUUUCUGCCGAAAAGUCCAGGAGUGGCUAGACGCGAACAAGGAGAAUGUUGUGGCCAUCCACUGUAAAGCGGGAAAGGGACGCACGGGGGUGAUGAUUUGCUGCUACCUCCUUUACGCCGGUAUCUGCGCAACACCCGAAGAAGUGCUCGACUUUUACGGGAAGAAGCGAACCAAAGACGGCAAGGGCGUCACCAUUCCCUCCCAGCAGCGGUACGUGACGUACUUCCAUCGUAUGCUGAAAUCGCGCUGUGUCUACUACCCUACCGAGCUCUACCUGCAGGCCAUCACCCUCGAGCCGGAGAGAGCACUGGAGAACAUAGUGUCCAACGUGUUUUUCUCCGUGAAGACCCGCUGCAGUACCGUACCCGCCGCGUGUAACGGAGACUCACGGCCCACCCUCAUGGACACCAUCAUAGAGCCGGAUCUGAGGAAGGAUAAGGAGCGCAAACUGCUGACCUCGAGAGCCGUGGAGCCGGCCAGGCGGCAGGGCGACACCUGUCUACGAAUCCCCGUCGACGGCGAACUACCCGUCCGGGGCGACUUCAAGUUAGAGCUCCUCUACAAGCCGAAGAACAAGCUGAAGCCUAGGGAGAAGCUCUGCUGGUUGUGGCUAAACACGUUCUUCGUGGCCGGAGGGGCGUCGGAGCGGGCGGACAGGAUGGAGCGUGCGUCCAGCUGUCCCGAGGACGAGGGUCCGCCCGGACAGGGGUACCCCAUAGUCAGUUCCUGCAGCGACGCGCGGCUACCACUGGGUGCCAGUAAUAGAAUAACGCUCACACUUGGGAAGGACGAACUGGACAAAGGAUGGAAAGACUCCAGGCUACCCGAGAGCUUCAAGCUGCACCUGAGCCUGGCCCGACGGAAGGCGCGGGUCUCCCAGCAGCAGCAGCUGCCCAGGGUUACCGGGUCAGACUCAGAUAGUGAAGACGACAGCGGGGACGACUAUCCAGGGGAGAGGGACGGAGCGCUGUUUCAGCCGCCGGCGCCGCCGGCGCCGUCCAGACCUACCGAACGGUCGUAUCCGUGGCUAAGGACACAGGCACCUCAGAGCUAGCGGCCCGUGUCGCCGCCCCGGCCGGGCAGAAAGAGCUGGUGAUAGCGCCGGUCUAGCUCGAACGAGAGAGCACCCACCUAUAGGAGUUGCCGGCGCACUGACUGUGGCGACGGCAAAGGAGAGAGCCAAGUACAAAAUGAACGAGAGCGUACGAGAGAGAGAGCAUGGGAGCAGCGGUGUCCCACACGUGUAUUUUGCGGCGGCGGGACUGAAUUCAGAAGGUAUCGUCUGCGCAAACCUUCAUCAAUAGCAAGGCUUGAUCUUCAGCGUAUGAGAUGGACCUCCAGAAUCAAAACCAUCGGGAUGGCUUCUUCAGCUUAUGCUCUAGCCGAAAGCUAGACUUUGUUGGAACUUCGCUUACGAAACAAAGCAUUCAGCGUGAGAAAACCCCGCCAUAGACUGAGCAAAUUCAGAUCAUAAGCUCCCAUGCGUCUGCCGCGUUUGUGUGUCUGUGUGUUAGCGGGUGUAUGUUUAUCUCUUAUAUGGGUCUCGCUAUGGUAUGGGAUUGGCGUGGAAUCAAGAUUCAAGUAUGAGUGAUGUCUUGCUGUCAUCGCUAAAAUGUGGACGUGUGGAGAGAUGUGGACAGCGUGGAAAAUGUGGAAGCGUGAAGGGAUUCAAUGUGGCCAUUUGACGGUAUUUUAGUGGUGGAUUUAAUGUUCAGGAGUAUGUAAAAAUGUGCUGGAAAUAGCACAAACAGGACAUUUUCUUGAUUUGGGUUUUGGUAGGAAUUUGCGAAUGGUAACGAUAAGAGUGGAGUCGAAGUGGGUUGAGAUGUGGAGUUAGACGAAGUGGAAGGGCCAGAGUUGGUAUUUGGUUGAGCUGGAGAUAGAGAUUGAGUUCAUGAGUUAGUGGAGAGUGACUUGAGGAGUUGAUGGAGACGGAGUGAGUUGAGCUGAUGAGUUGGUGGCAGUGUGAGCUGAGUUGUGAGUGGAGUUUGAGUUGGAUGGGUUCGUUCUACGGCUGGGAUGAUAGCGGGGUGUCUUGAGGAGGGGCUGUGAGCUGUGAGUUGGGGAGUUGGUAGAUCCGAGGUACGAGUACCGAGUGGACGCCCGAGUUUGAGAGUGACCGUGUUGUCUACCGCGCCCAGUGAGGCGAGAUCUGGCAGCCCAGAAGGAGAGUUGCCAGAUGCACCUUGUCGCUUGGCUGUGUAGCCAUCUGAAGAUGGCUUUAGCGCUUGGUGCCGAGCGGGAUUUUUGAACAUCCAAGGAGUGCUCCGCACAAAACCGCACGUGUAUGAUUUCGAGAAUCGUCUCAAAACAACACGUGCGUGUUUUGCUGCAACACUUUCAACAGAAUCACGAGUGAGAUAUUUGACGGGAGUGUGAGUGGUAAGAAGUGACGCGAGUGAGACUGUCUUACAUGUGAGAAUCCAUCAGUGAGAUCGCAUGCUCAUAUGUUAGUGUAGCGUCUCGACGCUAUCACCUGGUUUUAGUUGAUGUCUAUAUGCCGUUAGAGAAAUCCCUGUGUCUCUAAGCAAUAGACAUAAUUGUCAACAUUUCGCUGUGUGUAUGUAUGUGUGUGUUUGUGGAGUAUCCCGUGUGUAUAGCCGCCGGGCGCCCGAGUCUGUCUCUGCGCUCUGACGUCACUGGGGGACGGCGCUGACGUCACUGGUGGGCCGCCGCUGUUGUGAAGUGUAUGGGAAAUGUGCGCAGUGCGCCCCCGGCUCCAAAUACAAGCCGACCAUCGUAAA
rnacentral:misc_RNA from 1 species